UUUUCCUACGGGGGGCAGCAGUGGGGGAUAUUGCACAAUGGGGGAAACCCUGAUGCAGCGACGCCGCGUGGGCGAAGAAGUAUUUCGGUAUGUAAAGCCCCAUCAGCAGGGAAGAAGAAAUGACGGUACCUGAGUAAGAAGCACCGGCUAAAUACGUGCCAGCAGCCGCGGUAAUACGUAUGGUGCAAGCGUUAUCCGGAUUUACUGGGUGUAAAGGGGGCGCAGACGGCAAUGCAAGCCAGGAGUGAAAGCCCGGGGCCCAACCCCGGGACUGCUCUUGGAACUGCAUGGCUGGAGUACAGGAG
rnacentral:rRNA from 1 species